UAGGGAAUCUUCGGCAAUGGACGAAAGUCUGACCGAGCAACGCCGCGUGAGUGAAGAAGGUUUUCGGAUCGUAAAACUCUGUUGUUAGAGAAGAACAAGGACGUUAGUAACUGAACGUCCCCUGACGGUAUCUAACCAGAAAGCCACGGCUAACUACGUGCCAGCAGCCGCGGUAAUACGUAGGUGGCAAGCGUUGUCCGGAUUUAUUGGGCGUAAAGCAAGCGCAGGCGGUUUCUUAAGUCUGAUGUGAAAGCCCCCGGCUCAACCGGGGAGGGUCAUUGGAAACUGGGAGACUUGAGUGCAGAAGAGGAGAGUGGAAUUCCAUGUGUAGCGGUGAAAUGCGUAGAUAUAUGGAGGAACACCAGUGGCGAAUGCGGCUCUCUGGUCUGUAACUGACGCUGAGGCUCGAAAGCGUGGGGAGCAAACAGG
rnacentral:rRNA from 1 species